AUUGAACGCUGGCGGCACGCUUAACACAUGCAAGUCGAGCGGUAACAUGACUAGUAGCAAUACUAGUUGAUGACGAGCGGCGGACGGGUGAGUAACACGUAGGAACUUGCCCAGUAGUGGGGGACAACCAAGGGAAACUUUGGCUAAUACCGCAUAUUCUCGAGAGAGGAAAGCUGCCGCAAGGUGGCGCUAUUGGAGAGGCCUGCGUCCGAUUAGCUAGUUGGGAGGGUAAAAGCCUACCAAGGCGAGGAUCGGUAACUGGUCUGAGAGGACGACCAGUCACACUGGGACUGAGACACGGCCCAGACUCCUACGGGAGGCAGCAGUGGGGAAUCUUGGACAAUGGGGGCAACCCUGAUCCAGCGAUGCCGCGUGAGUGAAGAAGGCCUUCGGGUCGUAAAGCUCUUUAGGCUGGGAAGAAGGUUGGUAGUUUAAGAGAUAAUCAAUUUGACUGUACCAGCAGAAUAAGCACCGGCAAACUCUGUGCCAGCAGCCGCCGUAA
rnacentral:rRNA from 1 species